UAGGGCCACCCUGCAGCAUAUGGAGGUUACCAGGCUAGGGGUCCAAUCAGAGCUAUAGCCGCCAACCUACACCAGAGCUACAGCAACACGGGAUCCGAGCUGCGUCUGCCACCUGCACCACAGCUCACGGCAACGCAGAUCCUUAACCCACUGAGCAAGGCCAGGGAUCGAACCCACAACCUCAUGGUUCCUAGUAAGAUUCGUUAACCAUUGAGCCACGACGGGAACUCCUCUUGGUAUUCUAAUUCUUUUACUUUAUUUAUGUUUAGGCUGAGCCCGUGGCAUGUGGAAAUUUCUGGGCCAGAGAUCAAACCCACAUCAUAGCAAUGACCUGAGCUACAGCAGUCACAAUGCUGGAUCUUUAACCCACUGAGCCUCUAGGGAACUCUGUAAUAUUUUUACUUUAAAAAGUAAAUUAUAUUUUCUACCAAUUGGGAAAAUUAUGUUUACUCACAUAUUUACCCCCCCCCUUUUUUUUUGCUAUUUCUUGGGCUGCUCCUGUGGCAUAUGGAGGUUCCUGGGCUAGGGGUCUAAUCGGAGCUGUAGCCACCGGCCUACACCAUAGCCACAGCAAUGCAGAAUCCGAGCCGCGUCUGCAACCUACACCACAGCUCACGGCAACGCUGGAUCAUUAACCCACUAAGCAAGGGCAGGGGCCAAACCCGCAACCUCAUGGUUCCUAGUCGGAUUCAUUAACCACUGCGCCACAACGGGAACUCCCUACCCCUUUUAAUAGUCUUCAGUCUUUCCUGUUUGUCUGAGUUUCCAAUUUAAAUUAUUUUACAUUAGCCUGGAACACACAUAAUUGUGGAAUACUUGGUUGGAAAUCUAAUAAGACGUGGCAGGACAUGUCUAUCUCAAGGUUCAUUUAAUGACAUUUGCCAAAAAUGGAUCAAAUAAGUAAAUAAAAUCACUGGCAAACCAUUUUGUAGUUUGUAAAAUACUAUCCUAAAUAUUUGAUAUUUGUGUGUUAUUUCAAUUUUGUGGGUGAUUAAGCUGAGGUAAAAAAGAAAAGUGAUAUGACCUCAAAUUGGAACUAAAAUAUUUUGAUUACAUGUAACGUGUUCUUUUAACUGCCGUGCCCAGUCUCUAGGUCUCUGCCACAUAUGAACUUCCUCCAUCACUGUGAUUCCCUAGUAUUUACUUCUCACUUGAGCAGUUUUCCAAUUGUUUCGCCUCACAAUUUGUCUCUAGCUCCUGUUGGGGUUCCUGGGUACCAAAGAGUUAAUGUAUGAGGUCAAACCCUUUCUAUUUAAGUGUCCUGGGAAAUCCCAGAAGUAGGCUGUUGUUCUAUUCCUCCCAAGGGGCUACACCCCUGGGGGAAAGAGAAGUAGGUUCAUCUGGAUAAAGUAGAGGUUAGCGUGAGAGGUCUUGCUCUUGUCUCUCAGGGACAUACUGAGCAUCCAGUCUUGGUAAGUGCCAGUAGCUAAAAAUCCCUAUGGAAACCCAAAGCUGGGGCUUUGUUAAACAGUUCAUAUAUGAAGAAAUGGCUAAGAGGAGGCAGAGGAAGUGGCUCGUGUGUGUGUGUGUGUGUGUGUGUGUGUGUGUGUGUGUGUGUGUUAAGGUCCCAUAUACUUUUUUUUUUGCUCUAUUUUUUAGGGCUGCACCUACAGCAUAUGGAGGUUCCCAGGCUAGGGGUCCAAUUGGAGCUGUAGCUGCCGGCCUGCACCAGAGCCACAGCAAUGUGGGAUCCAAGCCGCGUCUGUGACCUACACCACAGCUCACGGCAACGCCAGAUCCUUAACCCACUGAGUGAGGCCAGGGAUCAAACUUGCGUCCUCAUGGAUACUAGUCUGAUUCAUUAACCUCUGCGCCACGACAGGAACACCAUGGGUCCCAUAUACUUUAUAAUAUGACAAAUUCUCUUCAUUCAGUCCAGAGCUUGAUGUGUAGAAAAAAUGGUUCAGAAAUUUUUACUGAAAUAAUUACUAAUCGCUGGUAAUUGCUGAUACUGCAUUUAUUAUGUGAAGACUAAUUCAUCCUCUCCAAAAUAACUAGGUGAGAUAAAUCCUGUUGUUUAUGGUGUUUAACAGAAAAGUAAUUAUCUGCUUGAAAGCCUGAGCAGCUGUUCCAAAUUCAUACAGAUGGCAAGUUGCCAAGCUGAGUUUUAUACCCAGAUGUUUCUGCCUCAGACUUGAGGGAUGAUUUCUUACAUUAAAAAAAGGAAAUUCUAUGAAAUCAAGGCAAUGUUCCAUCUGCUGACUAUCCUCCUUGAAAUACUCUCUUCUCUGGGCAUCUGCUGUAUCCCGUUCUCCUAGUUCUUCCCCCGAUCUCUGGAUAUUCUGGUGCAAGAAGUUCUCCACAAUCUUGCUGUUGUCCUCGGGGUUCUAGCUGAGGUCUAAAUUCAUAGUUUUUACAUCUUUUUCUAGAUGAUCUCAUCCACUCCCCUGACCUCAGAUACCAACUAUCAUGUCAGUGCUUCUGAACUGUUUCUUCUCAAGUUCAGACUGCGUGUCCAAAAGCACGCUCUGUGUAAGAAUGAGUGCACUGCUGAAAAUGUGUGAGUGGAUUAAGUAUAAACAUCCUCUGCUUACUAUUCCAGGAGAAAGGGAGAAGGCACUACAAACAGUUCCACAUCUCACAUAUUUUUUUCAUGUACACUCAGUCUUUGCACAUUUGCUGAGAAUGUUUUAUGUUCCAGAAACUAUGUUAAUGGUGGAUAUAUGAAGAGAAAUAAAAUCCCAUCUAUACCUUUCAAUAUUUAGCAGUCAGUGUAUGUAGUGGUAGGGAUGGGGUUGGGUUGGGCAGUUAUACACGAAACCAGUACAUUAUAAAACAGUGUAGAAAUUACAAUAAACAACACAAAACAGGAGUAUUUCCUGAAGGAACAAAGUCAAUAAAUGCCCACAAACGAAGGGGAAAAGAAAAGGAAAGAAGGAUUAAUUUGGGGGGGGGGGGAUGAGAACUUAUUCCUGGGGAGGAAGGACCAGAAUAAAAUUUGAUAAAUAGACACAGUUUGACAGAUUACAUACAGAAUGAGUUUCAGGGCAUUUGAAAAAUCUACUACCAUCUCCAAAACAUACUUUCUUAGGGCCUAGCAUUAGGCUUGCUCCCAUGGUGGGAGAUUAAUAGGGGACGUCAAACUGCUUAGGGCCUCCCAGUCUGGCAAAUGAGGCUCCUUUACAAGCUGAUACAACAGAACUGCAUGGAAAGUACCCAGAAAAUGUCAAAUAUAUUGGUCCAGGGCUGCUUGCUAUUUAUUGUGGGUUUUUUUUUAUCUUCUGAAAAAUCAAAAAGUAAAAUAUCAAUUCACAACCACGCUUCAAUUUAGAGAAGCCCAAUAAUUUCCAAUGUCCACUAUACUGGCCAUUAAAGAUUGAUGAUUUUUCUUUAUUGCAUUUUGAACUUUAAAACAAAUUCUCGAAUGAAGUUGUCUAAUGUGAACGCUAGCCUUCCCCUGAGUCUCCCUUCCUUUUUGAGUCUUUUUCAAUUUUGCAAUUGAAAUGAUUAAUUUAAUAAUUUUCAUUUAUGUCUGCAUGCCUUCAUCACGAUUACUAAAUAUACAUGGGAUUUGUGAUGGUUAUCUUAGACAUGCAUAUUUCUCAGGUCAUUUAUACCAGUUAUACAACCUUGGGUUAUCUUCAAGCUCAAUAACUUCAUAAUACAUUGCUCGAUUGUAUAUAUUACCUCUGAAACCAUAAUUGGUGAACUCUUUAGUAGAGACCCUAACAAUAAACAGAUCAGGGUGUACUUUAAUAUGUAGCUGAAUUUAAAUUUUUUACAUUGAGUAAUUUGGAUUUUUGUCAUUUAGAAGUUCUUUGACUAAUUCAGUCUUGGAGAUAAAAUAUAAGAUACUUGAUCAGAAGAGCUAAGAUGAGCAUCCACAUGAUACAGCCCUAUGGCUUCAACACUUUCCCUUGAAAUAAUAAAAUAAUAACCUAAAGUGUGGCUCACAGCUGCUUGAACUAGGAACUAUUGUAUUUCACGUAGGAGUACAAACAUGAAGACAAUG
rnacentral:lncRNA from 1 species